GUGGCGAACGGGUGAGUAAUACGUGAGUAACCUGCCCUUGACUCUGGGAUAAGCCUGGGAAACUGGGUCUAAUACUGGAUACUACCUCUUACCGCAUGGUGGGUGGUGGAAAGGGUUUUACUGGUUUUGGAUGGGCUCACGGCCUAUCAGCUUGUUGGUGGGGUAAUGGCUCACCAAGGCGACGACGGGUAGCCGGCCUGAGAGGGUGACCGGCCACACUGGGACUGAGACACGGCCCAGACUCCUACGGGAGGCAGCAGUGGGGAAUAUUGCACAAUGGGCGGAAGCCUGAUGCAGCGACGCCGCGUGAGGGAUGACGGCCUUCGGGUUGUAAACCUCUUUCAGUAGGGAAGAAGCGAGAGUGACGGUACCUGCAGAAGAAGCGCCGGCUAACUACGUGCCAGCAGCCGCGGUAAUACGUAGGGCGCAAGCGUUGUCCGGAAUUAUUGGGCGUAAAGAGCUCGUAGGCGGUUUGUCGCGUCUGCUGUGAAAGCCCGGGGCUCAACCCCGGGUCUGCAGUGGGUACGGGCAGACUAGAGUGCAGUAGGGGAGACUGGAAUUCCUGGUGUAGCGGUGAAAU
rnacentral:rRNA from 1 species